rnacentral:rRNA from 1 species
ACCGCAUACGAUCUAUGGAUGAAANCGGGGGAUCGCAAGACCUCGCGCGAUUGGAGCGGCCGAUAUCAGAUUAGGUAGUUGGUGAGGUAAAGGCUCACCAAGGCCGACGAUCUGUAGCUGGUCUGGAGAGGACGACCAGCCACACUGGGACUGAGACACGGCCCCAGACUCCUACGGGAGGCAGCAGUGGGAAUUUUGGACAAUGGGCGCAAGCCUGAUCCAGCAAUGCCGCGUGCAGGAUGAAGGCCUUCGGGUUGUAAAGCACUUUAAGUUGGGAGGAAGGGCAGUAAGUUAAUACCUUGCUGUUUUGACGUUACCAACAGAAUAAGCACCGGCUAACUUCGUG